CCCUUAGAUGUUCUGGGCCGCACGCGCGCUACACUGAAGGGAUCAGCGUGUUUUCCCUUUCCGAGAGGAACGGGUAACCCGCUGAACCCCCUUCGUGGUAGGGAUCGGAGCUUGCAAUUGUUCUCCGUGAACCAGGAAUUCCCAGUAAGCGCAAGUCAUAAGCUUGCGUUGAUUACGUCCCUGCCCUUUGUACACACCGCCCGUCGCUACUACCGAUUGGAUGGCUUAGUGAGACCCUCGGACCGAUAGGCUGUCGCCGCGGCAACGUGGCGACCGGCCCGUCGGGAAGAAGGUCAAACUUGACUGUCUAGAGGAAGUAAAAGUCGUAACA
rnacentral:rRNA from 1 species